rnacentral:rRNA from 1 species
CCAAUAGCGUAUAUUAAAGUUGUUGCAGUUAAAAAGCUCGUAGUUGAAUUUCGGGAUCAGUACGCUGGUCGUGCCUCUGGUAUGUACUGGUGCUUCUGAUUCCUCCCUUCUGACGAACCGUCAUGUCAUUAAUUUGGUGUGGCGGGGAAUCAGGACUGUUACUUUGAAAAAAUUAGAGUGUUUAAAGCAGGCUCGCGCUUGAAUACAUUAGCAUGGAAUAAUGAAAUAGGACGUUCGAUCCUAUUUUGUUGGUUUCUAGGAUUGACGUAAUGAUUAAUAGGGAUAGUUGGGGGCAUUAGUAUUCAAUUGUCAGAGGUGAAAUUCUUGGAUUUAUUGAAGACUAACUACUGCGAAAGCAUUUGCCAAGGAUGUUUUCAUUAAUCAAGAACGAAAGUUAGGGGAUCGAAGACGAUCAGAUACCGUCGUAGUCUUAACCAUAAACUAUGCCGACUAGGGAUCGGAUGAUGUUAAUUUUUUAAUGACUCAUUCGGCGCCUUACG